AUUGAACGCUGGCGGCAGGCUUAACACAUGCAAGUCGAGCGGGGUGAUGGUGCUUGCACUAUCACUUAGCGGCGGACGGGUGAGUAAUGCUUAGGAAUCUGCCUAUUAGUGGGGGACAACAUCUCGAAAGGGAUGCUAAUACCGCAUACGUCCUACGGGAGACAGCAGGGGCUCACUUGUGACCUUGCGCUAAUAGAUGAGCCUAAGUCGGAUUAGCUAGUUGGUGGGGUAAAGGCCUACCAAGGCGACGAUCUGUAGCGGGUCUGAGAGGAUGAUCCGCCACACUGGGACUGAGACACGGCCCAGACUCCUACGGGAGGCAGCAGUGGGGAAUAUUGGACAAUGGGGGGAACCCUGAUCCAGCCAUGCCGCGUGUGUGAAGAAGGCCUUAUGGUUGUAAAGCACUUUAAGCGAGGAGGAGGCUCUUUUGGUUAAUACCCAAGAUGAGUGGGCGUUACUCGCAGAAUAAGCACCGGCUAACUCUGUGCCAGCCGCCGCCUAA
rnacentral:rRNA from 1 species